UACGAAGGGGGCUAGCGUUGUUCGGAAUUACUGGGCGUAAAGCGUGCGCAGGCGGCCUUCCAAGUCAGGGGUGAAAGCCCAGAGCUCAACUCUGGAAUUGCCUUUGAGACUGUGAGGCUUGAGUACGGGAGAGGUGAGUGGAAUUCCCAGUGUAGAGGUGAAAUUCGUAGAUAUUGGGAAGAACGCCGGUGGCGAAGGCGGCUCACUGGCCCGAAACUGACGCUCAUGCACGACAGCGUGGGGAUCAAACAGG
rnacentral:rRNA from 1 species